GAUGAACGCUGGCGGCGUGCCUAAUACAUGCAAGUCGAGCGAACAGACGAGGAGCUUGCUCCUCUGACGUUAGCGGCGGACGGGUGAGUAACACGUGGAUAACCUACCUAUAAGACUGGGAUAACUUCGGGAAACCGGAGCUAAUACCGGAUAAUAUAUUGAACCGCAUGGUUCAAUAGUGAAAGACGGUUUUGCUGUCACUUAUAGAUGGAUCCGCGCCGCAUUAGCUAGUUGGUAAGGUAACGGCUUACCAAGGCAACGAUGCGUAGCCGACCUGAGAGGGUGAUCGGCCACACUGGAACUGAGACACGGUCCAGACUCUUACGGGAGGCAGCAGUAGGGAAUCUUCCGCAAUGGGCGAAAGCCUGACGGAGCAACGCCGCGUGAGUGAUGAAGGUCUUCGGAUCGUAAAACUCUGUUAUUAGGGAAGAACAAAUGUGUAAGUAACUAUGCACGUCUUGACAGUACCUAAUCAGAAAGCCACGGCUAACUACGUG
rnacentral:rRNA from 1 species